rnacentral:rRNA from 1 species
CAUGCAAGUCGAACGGCAGCGCGGGCUUCGGCCUGGCGGCGAGUGGCGAACGGGUGAGUAAUAUAUCGGAACGUGCCCAAGAGUGGGGGAUAACGUAGCGAAAGUUACGCUAAUACCGCAUACGAUCUACGGAUGAAAGCAGGGGACCUUCGGGCCUUGUGCUCCUGGAGCGGCCGAUAUCUGAUUAGCUAGUUGGUGAGGUAAAGGCUCACCAAGGCGACGAUCAGUAGCUGGUCUGAGAGGACGACCAGCCACACUGGAACUGAGACACGGUCCAGACUCCUACGGGAGGCAGCAGUGGGGAAUUUUGGACAAUGGGGGCAACCCUGAUCCAGCAAUGCCGCGUGAGUGAAGAAGGCCUUCGGGUUGUAAAGCUCUUUUGUCAGGGAAGAAAAGGUCGUGGCUAAUAUCCACGGCUCAUGACGGUACCUGAAGAAUAAGCACCGGCUAACUACGUGCCAGCAGCCGCGGUAAUACGUAGGGUGCAAGCGUUAAUCGGAAUUACUGGGCGUAAAGCGUGCGCAGGCGGUUUUGUAAGUCUGUCGUGAAAUCCCCGGGCUUAACCUGGGAAUGGCGAUGGAGACUGCAAGGCUGGAAUCUGGCAGAGGGGGGUAGAAUUCCACGUGUAGCAGUGAAAUGCGUAGAGAUGUGGAGGAACACCGAUGGCGAAGGCAGCCCCCUGGGCUAAGAUUGACGCUCAUGCACGAAAGCGUGGGGAGCAAACAGGAUUAGAUACCCUGGUAGUCCACGCCCUAAACGAUGUCUACUAGUUGUUGGGUCUUAAUUGACUUAGUAACGCAGCUAACGCGUGAAGUAGACCGCCUGGGGAGUACGGUCGCAAGAUUAAAACUCAAAGGAAUUGACGGGGACCCGCACAAGCGGUGGAUGAUGUGGAUUAAUUC